rnacentral:rRNA from 1 species
GACGAACGCUGGCGGCGUGCUUAACACAUGCAAGUCGAACGGAAAGGCCCUGCUUUUGUGGGGUGCUCGAGUGGCGAACGGGUGAGUAACACGUGAGUAACCUGCCCUUGACUUUGGGAUAACUUCAGGAAACUUGGGCUAAUACCGGAUAGGAGCUCCUGCUGCAUGGUGGGGGUUGGAAAGUUUCGGCGGUUGGGGAUGGACUCGCGGCUUAUCAGCUUGUUGGUGGGGUAGUGGCUUACCAAGGCUUUGACGGGUAGCCGGCCUGAGAGGGUGAACGGCCACAUUGGGACUGAGAUACGGCCCAGACUCCUACGGGAGGCAGCAGUGGGGAAUAUUGCACAAUGGGCGGAAGCCUGAUGCAGCAACGCCGCGUGCGGGAUGACGGCCUUCGGGUUGUAAACCGCUUUCGCCUGUGAAGAAGAGUGAGUGACGGUAAUGGGUAAAGAAGCACCGGCUAACUACGUG